GUUUGUAAAGCCCAUGACCGCAACCAAAUAUCUCUCUCAAAUGAAAUCCCUAAAAUCGCCUCCAAAAAUUUCCGAUCCCUAAAAUCGCCGUGGCCAAGAUCUCGUCGCCGUUUUCGGAUCGGAUCUCAUCUCUAAGCUCCUCUCCGAUCUCCAAUCUCGUUGGUUUCGUCGCCGAGCUACUCCCUGUUUUCUAGGGUUUGCCGUUAUCUCAAAUCUCCUCUCCGAUCUCAUCUUCGAGCUACUAUUAUUUCGUCAUGAUAGUGUUGGAUGAUCUUUGGGAAUUUUAGGGCUGUAUUAUAGGAUAUUAUGGGUACAUUGAAAGUUUAUUUAGUGAGGUGACGAAAUAAUAGUCUUUUCAGAGUUCGUGUUCUUCUGGGUGGUAAGGGCUUGUUGUAGUUGAUUUUCGUUUUGAUCUCAUACUUUUUUGUCCUUACCUCUGGAAUUCUGUUCAAGUAUUACUGCUAGUUGGUUGGUUGUUUUGGUUGUUUUUCAUUUUUUUCCCCUUUCCCCUUUUUUUUAUUGGAAUUAUUGAAUAGUUUCAGUUAGAUAAUGGAAUUUGCUUGAUAUCUGCUCUUCCUUUUUUGAAAGGCGACAACUUUCGAGUUUUGAGGGCUCUUGUACUAGGGUUCUGCUGUUGUUUUCAGUUUACUGAUGUGCCAGCUACCUAUUUUAAUGAUUGUUGUUGAUGAUCUUUGCUAACUGCGUGGUUUUAACAUAUGAGACUAUGCUUGCAGUCUGAAAGUUUUAUUUUGUUAUGACUGGAAUAAUAUUCUUUUAAUUGUUUGUUCGCCCCUGUCCCCAUGUAUUUCUGUUUGUCAAGUAUUAUUGGGAGUGGUUGUGGUUUGCUUUAGUUGGUUUUAUUUUUAUUUUGAGGGGAAUUAUGGAAUAGGUGCAAUUGGAUAAUGGAAUUUGCUUGAUUUAUUCUUUAUGUUCAGAAAGACGGCAUAUUUGAGUACUCUCUGUUAAGGUAUCAUGGUACAAUUCCUUUUCUUAGUUUCUUUGAGUAUUUUCAGUUACGGUACUAUGUUCGAAAAGGCGGCAUGUUUACUUAGCAGCUGCUACUGCUACAUAUUCUUGAUGAUCGUCAUGGAUGACAGGAAUAUAUGUUAAUUGAAAGUUUUAUUUUGAUGAUCGUGAUGGAUGACUUGGGUUUUAUUAUAUGAUACUAUGUGUUAAUUAAAAGUUUAGUUUUGUAAUGACAGUAGAAUAGUAGUUGUCUUAACACUUUGUUCUCCAUCACCUGUGGAUUUCUAUUUGUAAAGUAUAUUUGGGGGUGGUUUUAGUUUGUUUAGUUGCUUUUCAUUUUGAUAUUUGCACCCGUGUUUGAAGAGGUGGCGUAGUUAAAUUACUUUUAGUUAAGGUACUAUCACGCUAGUGCUAUUUUCAGUUCACUGCUGCUGCUGUCUGUUUUUUUAUGACCAUGGCAGAGGAUCUUAUUCCGUCAUACUGCGUGUAAUUUGAAGUUUUAAGUAGAUGAUCUUAUUAUGUCAUACUACGUGUAAUUUGAAGUUUUAAAUGCAAUAACAAUCGACUACUGCUUAGUUCUUCCUCUUCUGUGUAUUUCUGUUUCUCAAGUAUAUUGGGAGUGGUCAGGAUAUAUGUUUAAAUUUUAAUUGCUUUCCGCUUUGAUUUUGAGAGGAAUUAUCACUAGAGGCUACAAUUCCUAACGGAGCUGGCUUGAUCUGUUGUAUAGACUUGAAUCUGAUUUGUAGUGUCAAAUACCCAAAAUUCCGAUGAGCAUGUAUAUUACAUAUUGCAACUUUGGUCUGAAAGCACAUUUUUGCAAGCAAGUGAAAAUUGAGAUUCAUUGUGCCUCUCCUUUUUUUGGCAUUGAGCACCUUGUUAUUGCAUGAUUCCUAGGCUGUUUGCAAUAAACUUUAUAACAAACUCGAUUUCAUUGAUGAAAACUCUUGGAAUGCAGGUGUUCUCAUUGUGCUUGGGUUGGGAACUGCGUUUCGGCUUGCAUUGGAGUGGUGCAAAGAUUGGGGAUCUCGAAGACACGUGCACGGCACGGACAUCCCUAUGAAAACUCUUGGAAUGUAGCUUGUUCAUUCUUUUCAUUUAUUACUAGUUAAUCACUUCUCUUUGAGUGAUGGAAACAGUUGGUGAUUCUAGAUCAAGUUCAAAAGAGAAGAGAUCAUUUGAGGUACAGAAAUGAUGAAAGCCAAGAUUGAGAUUGAUACUGACAGGUUCCUAGUGAGUAUUUGACAUUGAGGAACAAGUUUUUGGAAACAAAUAGGGAAUAUAGUCUUUGACCGAGAAGUUUCAUGUUUUGUAAUCAAAUGUUGAUGUACAUUAUUUGAAUGUUAGUUCGGUACGAUAUUUUCUGAGUUGAAAUGUUGGUAGUGUGGAUUUAAUACUUUGUAGUUUUUAUACUA